rnacentral:rRNA from 1 species
AGAGUUUGAUCAUGGCUCAGAUUGAACGCUGGCGGAAUGCUUAACACAUGCAAGUCGAGCGGGCUGUAGCAAUACAGCUAGCGGCGGACGGGUGAGGAAUACAUAGGAAUCUGCCUCAGAGUGGGGGAUAGCCCGGGGAAACCCGGAUUAAUACCGCAUGAUGUCGUAAGACCAAAGCAGGGGACCGUAAGGCCUUGCGCUUUGAGAUGAGCCUAUGUCGGAUUAGCUAGUUGGCGGGGUAAAGGCCCACCAAGGCGACGAUCCGUAGCUGGUCUGAGAGGACGAUCAGCCACACCGGAACUGAGACACGGUCCGGACUCCUACGGGAGGCAGCAGUGGGGAAUAUUGGACAAUGGGCGCAAGCCUGAUCCAGCAAUUCCGCGUGUGUGAAGAAGGCCUUCGGGUUGUAAAGCACUUUAAGUUGGGACGAAAAAAUCGGCGCGAAUAGCGCCGGUCUUGACGGUACCGACAGAAUAAGCACCGGCUAACUCUGUGCCAGCAGCCGCGGUAAUACAGAGGGUGCAAGCGUUAAUCGGAUUUACUGGGCGUAAAGCGUGCGUAGGCGGCUCGCUAAGUCGGUUGUGAAAUCCCUGGGCUUAACCUGGGAACUGCAGUCGAUACUGGCGGGCUAGAGUACGGUAGAGGGAGGCGGAACUCCGGGUGUAGCGGUGAAAUGCGUAGAUAUCCGGAAGAACACCGAUGGCGAAGGCAACCUCCUGGGCCUGUACUGACGCUGAGGUACGAAAGCGUGGGGAGCAAACAGGAUUAGAUACCCUAGUAGUCC